GACCUAGAGAUGAAGAAGCCAGCAACCUGGAAUUGCCAUCAAAUGCUGACACAAAAGUUCCUACAAAAGCCAAGGAAAAGGGGAAUCUAGCAAACCAGAAAACUUUUACACAACUACCACUCUACUUCAACAAGUAUCACAGCCUGACACCCUCACCAGAGGACAAGCAGCCUGCAGAACGGCCAUCCAGGCUGGGUGCAUUCCUAGGAUGUGAUUUCCUUCAGUGUGGAGUAAACCCUGCCUUUUACCCACCAACACCAGCAAGGAAGUAUAGAAGACCAGUACCAUUUACUCAAGGAAUGUCCAUCUUUCAUUUGGAAUGCCUUAAGACUUCCAGGAAGAGCAUGCUAUCACUACAUCAAUUGGAGCUCAAUCUUACCCAAUACCGCAAAAGAAAUACCAUACUGGCCAACAGGAACUAUCUGUUUGGGGCAGGAGGGAAAGGUGUACAGAGCAGGCACUGAAUGCAGCCUUAGGAAAUUUCUAGGAAGACACUUUCAGCAACCGGGACCCACACGUGACCAAGCGCCUUGCUUGGAUGCCCUGGCCAGUCCCAGUCACUGGAGAGGGUAUUUCUUCAAGGAAGAUACUGCAAUGCACUGGGGAUGGGUGGUCCUCAGACACAAGACCUGGACAGGAGGGAAGCUUUCCUGGGUCCAAGAGUGGUACUAAAAUUUGUGGUCAAAUGCAGGGUUUGGAAGAAGCUGGAAGGAAACCUGGAGCCCUGAUUUUCUAGCCAUCUUAUACUCACCAAUAAAGAAUGUUAAUUCUAUAUUAAUAUUAAAAAUUGUGCAUAUGUGUGUGUGUGCAUGUGCAUAUAUGCUGGGGUGAGUGGGGAGAGGAGAGCAAAAGAAAAUACAAACAUAUUGAUUUGAGUGCAUAAGAGUAUAUCAAAUAUUACCAUCAUUCAAAAAAACUUCUAUAAAACUAAAGACAUCGAAA
rnacentral:lncRNA from 10 species